GAUGAACGCUAGCGGCAGGCUUAACACAUGCAAGUCGAGGGGUAUAGUUCUUCGGAACUAGAGACCGGCGCACGGGUGCGUAACGCGUAUGCAAUCUACCUUUUGCAGAGGGAUAGCCCAGAGAAAUUUGGAUUAAUACCUCAUAGUAUAGCAGUUUCGCAUGAAACCACUAUUAAAGUCACAACGGCAAAAGAUGAGCAUGCGUCCCAUUAGCUAGUUGGUAAGGUAACGGCUUACCAAGGCUACGAUGGUAGGGGUCCUGAGAGGGAGAUCCCCCACACUGGUACUGAGACACGGACCAGACUCCUACGGGAGGCAGCAGUGAGGAAUAUUGGACAAUGGGCGCAAGCCUGAUCCAGCCAUGCCCGNGUGCAGGAUGACGGUCCUAUGGAUUGUAAACUGCUUUUGUACAGGAAGAAACACUCCC
rnacentral:rRNA from 1 species